GGUGUGCUGGCGCAAUGGUAGCGCGUAGUCCUCCUAAAAUGGUUCAAGACUAAGGUUCAGGGUUCGAGUCCCUGGUACAUCG
rnacentral:tRNA from 1 species